GGCUCAGGACGAACGCUGGCGGCGUGCCUAACACAUGCAAGUCGAGCGGGGACAUACGACGGAACCAAAGUUUUCGGAUGGAGGUGAAGAUGUAUGUUCUAGCGGCGGACGGGUGAGUAACGCGUGAGCAACCUGUCCCUUACAGGGGGAUAACACAGCGAAAGUUGUACUAAUACCGCAUGAGACCACGGGGAGACAUCUUUCUGAGGUCAAAGGAGCAAUCCGGUAAGGGGUGGGCUCGCGUCCGAUUAGAUAGUUGGUGAGGUAACGGCCCACCAAGUCGACGAUCGGUAGCCGACCUGAGAGGGUGAUCGGCCACAUUGGGACUGAGACACGGCCCAACUCCUACGGGAGGCAGCAGUGGGGAAUAUUGGGCAAUGGGGGGAAACCCUGACCCAGCAACGCCGCGUGAGGGAAGAAGGUUUUCGGAUCGUAAACCUCUGUCCCAGGUGAAGAGCAAGAGACGGUAACCUGGGAGGAAGCCCCGGCUAACUACGUGCCAGCAGCCGC
rnacentral:rRNA from 1 species